rnacentral:lncRNA from 1 species
CCGUGUGGUAAAUCUAAUUUUCAUAAAAUAGGUGCAAACUUCACACGUCCGGGACACACGCCCAUGGUUGAAGCCGUCUCCCUUACACGGCUAAGACGCACGCUUGUGUCUCUGCCCGUGUACUAAAUUUUGAGCAUUCUAUUUCUCAAAAUUAAGGUGCAGGGGACACACGACCGAACACAUGCCAAUGGGGUAGACUGUGUGUCACACACAACCUAGAUACGCACCCGUGUGUCUA